rnacentral:rRNA from 1 species
UGGGGAAUAUUGCACAAUGGGCGCAAGCCUGAUGCAGCAACGCCGCGUGAACGAUGAAGGUCUUCGGAUCGUAAAGUUCUGUUGCAGGGGAAGAUAAUGACGGUACCCUGUGAGGAAGCCCCGGCUAACUACGUGCCAGCAGCCGCGGUAAUACGUAGGGGGCAAGCGUUGUCCGGAAUUAUUGGGCGUAAAGCGCGCGCAGGUGGUUUAGAAAGUCUGAUGUGAAAGCCCACGGCUCAACCGUGGAGGGUCAUUGGAAACUAAUAAACUUGAGUGCAGGAGAGAAAAGUGGAAUUCCUAGUGUAGCGGUGAAAUGCGUAGAGAUUAGGAGGAACACCGGUGGCGAAAGCGGCUUUUUGGCCUGCAACUGACACUGAGGCGCGAAAGCGUGGGGAGCAAACAGG